rnacentral:siRNA from 1 species
UGAAACAUUGUGCACAUAACCGGU